rnacentral:tRNA from 1 species
AGAACUUCUCUUUCUCGGAA